rnacentral:rRNA from 1 species
CCUACGGGUGGCAGCAGUGGGGAAUAUUGCACAAUGGGGGAAACCCUGAUGCAGCGACGCCGCGUGAGUGAAGAAGUAAUUCGUUAUGUAAAGCCCUAUCAGCAGGGAAGAAAAUGACGGUACUUGAGUAAGAAGCACCGGCUAACUACGUGCCAGCAGCCGUGGGACUACGUAGGGGGCAAGCGUGAUCCGGAUUUACUGGGGGUAAAGGGAGCGUAGACGGCAGUGCAAGUCUGGAGGGAAAGGCGGGGGCUCAACCCCCGGACUGCUCUGGAAACUGUACGGCUGGAGUGCAGGAGAGGUAAGUGGAAUUCCUGGUGUAGCGGUGAAAUGCGUAGAUAUUAGGAAGAACACCAGUGGCGAAGGCGGCUUACUGGACUGUAACUGACGUUGAGGCUCGAAAGCGUGGGGAGCAAACAGGAUUAGAUACCCUUGUAGUC